UACGUAGGGCGCAAGCGUUAUCCGGAAUUAUUGGGCGUAAAGAGCUCGUAGGCGGUUUGUCGCGUCUGCCGUGAAAGUCCGGGGCUCAACUCCGGAUCUGUGGUGGGUACGGGCAGACUAGAGUGAUGUAGGGGAGACUGGAAUUCCUGGUGUAGCGGUGAAAUGCGCAGAUAUCAGGAGGAACACCGAUGGCGAAGGCAGGUCUCGUGGGCAUUAACUGACGCUGAGGAGCGAAAGCAUGGGGAGCGAACAGG
rnacentral:rRNA from 1 species